rnacentral:rRNA from 1 species
UACGUAGGGGGCAAGCGUUAUCCGGAUUUACUGGGUGUAAAGGGGGCGCAGACGGCGAUGCAAGCCAGGAGUGAAAGCCCGGGGCCCAACCCCGGGACUGCUCUUGGAACUGCGUGGCUGGAGUGCAGGAGGGGCAGGCGGAAUUCCUGGUGUAGCGGUGGAAUGCGUAGAUAUCAGGAGGAACACCGGUGGCGAAGGCGGCCUGCUGGACUGCAACUGACGUUGAGGCCCGAAAGCGUGGGGAGCAAACAGG